CUUCAUUGAUGAUUAAAACAAAACUUACUAAUAUUAUACAUCUAAGUUGAAGUAUUAGACAGACCUUUGAUGUCAAUUAUUUCAUAGUACACUGUAGGGCAUUACAAGUCACACUGAAUUUCAAACAUACAAAGAGCAGUUGGCAAAUUGAACUCACAGUAUCGGUUGAGAUAGAAGGGCAAGAAGGUGGUUUGAGCUAACUCAGGGUACUAAAGUAGUCCGAGGGUGAUACAAAGAAGAUACAAGCAACAUAUAUCAACCUCAAUAUAGUGGAAUACGACUUACUCAGCGAGAGGAUUAAGCAUACUACCAACAAACAGUACCACGCCUGUUGCAUCUUCUCUAAUCAGGAAGAGGUAUGGAUGAUCAGCAACAAAGUCUACUUUCUCUUCCAUCAUCAAUCCUCUUAGUUUAACAACACCAGCAGUUGCAGCUGCAGCUUCUGUUCCCUCUUCAUUUACCUCAAUAAAGGACUUGUGAAAGAUGUUAGAAACAUAGAGGUUACAGCCAACGGGGGAGUCUACCAUCUCAGUGAGGCCAUCACCAGAGAAAGGUAAUACCAGGCCAAGCCCUUUCAGAACGUUAGAAGCUUCAAAUCCAAAUGAUAUUUUAAAUUUGGGGAUACGGAAUUCACCGACUCCAACCUUUUGAUAUGGAAGGUGUCGCUCCAAGAAUCGGGAUUCAGAACUGACCUUGUCUACCAAAGCUGGCAGUCCAUCAUUGGCAUCAGGCAGAAAGAAGUACAUGGAGAAACGGCGUCUAUCCUCACCUUGUUUAUACGGAAGGCCUAACACCUUGAAACCAUCAAAAGCUUUUACAUAUUGCUUCGUCUUGCUAGUCAUGAAGGGCACUUGAAUAGAUGUCCCAUUUAGAAGGUGGAACUCACUUUCCUUGGUCACUGAUGCAUCAAACUUUUCGUCCCAGGCUCCUUUAAAGUACAAUGCAUUUGCAAACACAAGUCUUGUUGAACUGUCAACUGAGUCAGCUGGAAGUAUUUCUUUGAUAAGCCCACUUGUUUCCUUUUCAGCCCAUUGAUUCACUUGACUGGCAACCUCAACAGCCUUUUUCUGAAAAUCAACAGAAGAAGAAGUAGCCUUAUAAACAUUGUCCACAAUCUGUUUGAAAGAAUGCUUAAGAGGCAAAGUCUGUUCAACCCAGACGCUAUUAGCAACCGAAAGUCGAGGCCCACCACUAGGGCUACCAUCAGCAAAGACAACCUCUACAAUCUGAGAAGAAAGAGAGUUUAGUUCAUCAGUACACUUCGAUUUGAGGAAACUGAGCAAUUGGUCACGGGUCGGGCCAUUUGAACCCGCUGCUAUGAGACCCAACACUACAUGGAUCGACAAAGGGGAGAAGACCAUGUUCGUGGUGUCCCCUUUAACCUCAGUGGAGAAAACAUGUUUGGCUAGCGUUAAGGAUACGCCUGUUUGGUUGCUGAUUGAUUCUUGAAGGUCCAUUUCAAUGGAGAUUUUUGAGUUUUGUGAAUGAAGAAUUUUAUGAGUCAACAAAAAAGAAAUGGAACAGUUGAUACACGUUAUGAAGUUUGAAAUAGUAUUAAAAGUCAAUACUUGGCAUAGAAGUAUGG
rnacentral:misc_RNA from 1 species